AACGAACGCUGGCGGCAGGCUUAACACAUGCAAGUCGAACGCCCUCGCAAGGGGGAGUGGCAGACGGGUGAGUAACACGUGGGAACAUACCCUCAGGUUCGGAACAACGCCGGGAAACUGGCGCUAAUACCGGAUACGCCCUGUGAAGGGGAAAGGCUUGCUGCCUGAGGAGUGGCCCGCGUUCGAUUAGCUAGAUGGCGGGGUAACGGCCCACCAUGGCGACGAUCGAUAGCUGGUCUGAGAGGAUGGCCAGCCACAUUGGGACUGAGACACGGCCCAAACUCCUACGGGAGGCAGCAGUGGGGAAUAUUGGACAAUGGGCGCAAGCCUGAUCCAGCCAUGCCGCGUGAGUGAUGACGGCCUUAGGGUUGUAAAGCUCUUUCGCACGCGACGAUAAUGACGGUAGCGUGAGAAGAAGCCCCGGCUAACUUCGUGCCAGCCGCCGCAGUAAAAC
rnacentral:rRNA from 1 species